AGUCUUCGGAGAUGCCAUGAACCUCCCUACCUAAUAAAUCACAGGCCCCCAGUUAUUGUUAAAUGUCCCAUCAGUCUCUAAUAAACUCCCUGCCAACAGGGGUAGGUUAUUUAUUAUGCUGCCUGGACAAGAAUGAAUGGGGCCCCGUUCUCACAAGGAGAAGAGCAAACGUACCGCCUUCCUCCCUGAAGACUGAGGCUGUGGUAUUAAAUGGGGCAAUUAAUCAACACGGGCCUUGGGCAGCGGGGAGUCUGGCCCACAGUGAGGGAGGAUGGCCUGCGGUUCUUUACCGAAAGCCAGCCAGGCAAAUCUCCACGGCAGGAGGUGGCAGUGCAGGGUGCAGGGGCCCGGACCUUUGCUGCAUCUCCCCCUCUCCUAAUUCCUGUCUGAAAAGGUACCAAAGAUGUAGUCACCCCAUAGGUCAUGAGGCACGUGUAAAAAGUUAUUCUCCAUGUUGGGAAGUAGCCACGUAGGAUUGAGCAGGGUCACGAAACAAUAACUUCUGUCCAGAAGGCCAGAUAUUAUCACUUGAUAAACUUGAUAUAACUUAAGUUUAUUGAUGGUGCUAGUCCACUGAGCAGAUGAACUGAAGAAUACAGAUGGGAAAGAGAACUAGGAAGCAUGUGCUCAGUCCCUGUUCGCUGGAUAAAUAGUACAUGGUAAGCACUGGCCCAUGGAAAGCGGUGCAUCAACACUUAAAGGAGCCAGGAGCUAUGAGUGCAAGAAACAGUGUGUAAGUUGGGCCUUGCUGUUACCUGCCACAAAUUAGAUCCCAAACUUAGAUGAUGCUUCAUGGUCUGCAAGUUAAAACCCGAACUCCUCACCUUUGCCGUUAAUCAAGCCCCAAUCUACAUUUCCAACUGAAUUUCUCUAUUUCUCUUUAUUGCUACCUAACUACCCCCUUUGGGAGAGCAUGACACCUUCACUUUAUAUUCCUUAUGGUGGCAGGCAAGGUCUUCCAUAGUGGGACCAAUAUAUCCCUGCAGCCUCUUUCCUGGUAAUUGCUGCCAUACUUGCCUCCGUUCACAGUAAAGCUCAUACCUUCCCUAAACUACUGCGGUUUCUCAGGCUUCCACGCCUUUGCACAAACUGUUCCUUUUGCCCAGAAUAUCUUUCUAGCUUGUCUGCCUGGGGAGCUCUCCUUCCACCCCCACUGCCUGAUGAAUUCCUUAUCUAUGCUUCAGGAUCAGCUCACAAAAUCAGCCCCUCAGUGCUUCCCUGGACCUGAGGUUUGUCUCCUGAUGCUGCUGUCUUGGCAGAAGUGCUGGACUCCAGGGACUAGCUCCCAGGUACAUAACGUGAGGAAGGGCCUUCCAGGUAGACAGAACAGCAUAAAAAGAGGCUGGGGUCCCAUUGUGAUGUUUAUCCUGGAGAAGGCUGGGAAGCAGACAACAGACCACCUGGUUUCUGUGUAUGUUACUUUCAUACCUUACCUAGUUAUUAAAUGGUCUCCUACCUUUGUGUUUUAUGUUUACAGCCCUAAAAUGAUGGUCAACAACAUUAUUACACUUUUUAACUACUGGGGAAAAAAUUUUAUUGAUUUGUAUUUUUAGCAAUAGCAAUACAACUUUUUCCUAGUAACAUUACCGCAAUAUUUUGUCCAUAAAAUAUUGUAACAACAAACACAAUAGCAGAAUGCCUAUAAAACUAUAGAUGUUCUUUUCUGGAAAAGCAGUCUUCCCGUUUCUUUUGGGAUGAGAGCCAGGUUCUUCGUCAG
rnacentral:lncRNA from 1 species